rnacentral:rRNA from 1 species
AUGGCAUGUCCAAUCAACAUUGUCAACAUUCGUCAUGUAACCCAACACUACGUUGGUAACAUGAUAAGAAGGCUUGUGUUCGGUAAAAGAUACUUCAGUGACCUACCAGCUUCAUCCGCUAGUUGGCCUGGACAUGAUGAGGUGGCACAUGUUGCCGCUCUCUUCACGGUCCUCAACCAUCUCUACAGCUUUUGCGUGUCCGACUACUUCCCAACCCUCAUAGGCCUCGACCUGGAUGGCCAUGAAAAGGUUUCCAAGGAUGCCAUGCAAACAACUAACCGGUUGCAUGAUCCUAUUAUAGAGGAGCGAAUCCGCGAAAGGUCAUCCACUCUUGAGAAAUUUGGUGAAAAGAAAGAGGCCAGAGACUUUCUGGACGUCCUGGUUCAUCUUAAAGAUGCAGAGGGACAACCAAUGCUUUCCCUAGAAGAGACUAGAGCACAAACAGCGGAAAUGAUGUUUGCAGCAGUCGAUAACCCAUCUAAUGCGGUUGAGUGGGCACUUGCUGAGAUGAUGAACAUGCCAGAGAUCAUGCAGAAAGCAACAGAGGAACUUGAUGCUGUCGUCGGUAAAGAUAGACUGGUGCAGGAGUCUGACAUUCCUCAGCUAAACUAUCUCAAAUCGUGCAUCCAGGAGGCCUUCCGCUUACACCCAUACCAUGCUCUUAACGUACCCCAUGUCGCCAUGGCGGACACAACUAUUGCUGGCUACACCAUCCCCAAGGAUAGCCACAUACUUUUAAGACGGCUUGGACUUGGCCGCAAUCCCAAGAUCUGGACUGAACCACUGGAGUUUCAGCCUGAGAGGCAUUUGAACACUGCGAAUGUACUUCUCACUGAUCCAGGCCUACGUUUCAUUUCAUUUAGCAGUGGGAGGAGGGGUUGUCCUGGGAUUUCACUUGGUACCUCUAUGACAAUGAUGUUGUUCGCAAGGAUGUUG